rnacentral:rRNA from 1 species
UACGUGGGGGGCAAGCGUUGUUCGGAAUUAUUGGGCGUAAAGGGCGCGUAGGCGGUCUGAUAAGUCAUCUGUGAAAUCUAUGGGCUCAACCCAUAGUCUGCAGGCGAAACUGUCGGGCUUGAGUAUGGGAGAGGUGAGUGGAAUUUCCGGUGUAGCGGUGAAAUGCGUAGAUAUCGGGAGGAACACCUGUGGCGAAAGCGGCUCACUGGACCAUUACUGACGCUGAUGCACGAAAGCUAGGGGAGCAAACAGG